GAUGAACGCUGGCUACAGGCUUAACACAUGCAAGUCGAGGGGAAACGCCGGGGAAGCUUGCUUCCCCGGGCGUCGACCGGCGCACGGGUGAGUAACGCGUAUCCAACCUGCCUCUGACUGAGGGAUAACCCGUCGAAAGUCGGCCUAAUACCUCAUGGUAUCGUCUGCGGGCAUCCAACGACGAUUAAAGAUUUCAUCGGUCAGGGAUGGGGAUGCGUCUGAUUAGCUUGUUGGCGGGGUAACGGCCCACCAAGGCUACGAUCAGUAGGGGUUCUGAGAGGAAGGUCCCCCACAUUGGAACUGAGACACGGUCCAAACUCCUACGGGAGGCAGCAGUGAGGAAUAUGGGUCAAUGGGCGAGAGCCUGAACCAGCCAAGUAGCGUGCAGGAAGACGGCCCUAUGGGUUGUAAACUGCUUUUAUGCGGGGAUAAAGUGAGGGACGUGUCCCUCAUUGCAGGUACCGCAUGAAUAAGGACCGGCUAAUUCCGUG
rnacentral:rRNA from 1 species